AAAUACCUGGCCAGGUGCGGUGGCUCACCCUGGGGGUGAUAGUUCUUAUAACAUGAUACUGAAAAAUACAGCCAGGUGUGGUGGCUCAUGCCUGUAAUCCCAGCACUUUGGGAGGCUGAGGACGGUGGAUCACAUGAGGUCAGAAGUUUGAGACCAGCCUGGCCAACAUGGAGAAACCCCAUCCCUACUAAAAAUACAAAAAUUAGCUGGGGGUGGUGGCACGCCCCUGUAAUCCCAGCUAUUUGGGAGGUUGAGGCAGGAGAAUCCCUUGAACCUGGGAGGUGGAGGUUACAGUGAGCUGAGAUAGAGCCACUGAACUCCAGCCUGGGUGACAGAGCGAGAUUGUCUUAAAAAAAGAAAAGAAAAAGAGUGAAGAAAAUCCGCUAUCUAUGCAUUAAUCUGUGGGCUCAUUUCCUUGCAGCCUUGUGAUUGCACGAGUGUUGUCUGAUAUCAUUUGAGCAAGUUGUCAACUCUAAGGUUCUGCAACCUGUAAAUGCAGUGCAGCUCCUGGGGAGGGCGUCUGUCCCCCUGGCUGGAGGCUCUCAAACAGAAUGGAGACCCUCACUGUCAGACCUAUUGGGAGGACUCAGGCGGUGGAUGGGGGUUCAGACUAGAUCAUGUCCAAGGUCCUUAAAAACCACAAGGUGUAUAAGAUGCAGCCAAAAUGAUUUAAGGCAAAACCCCACAAACAAGAUGGACAAAAACCCUCAAGGUGAAAAAGAAAAAAAAAAAA
rnacentral:lncRNA from 10 species